GCGGAGCUCCGAGGUCAUCGAGUACAGCCUGUGUCCCAACAUCUCCGUGUCAGUCUAACCGUGGCACACAGUGCCACGUCCAGUCUCUCCUUAAACACAGCCAGGGACAGUGAUUCCUGGGCAGUUCAUUCAGUAUCUAGUCGCCCUUCCUGUGAAAGAUCUUUUCCUAAUGUUCAACCUAAACCUCCCCUGGUGCAGCUUGAGACUGUGGCCUUUUGUCCUGUCUGGGAGAAGAGGCCAAGCCCCACCUGGCUACAGCCUCCUUUCAGGGAGAUGUGGAGAGCAAUAAGGUCCUGCCUGAGCCUCUUUUUCACCCAGCUGAGCUCUCUGUGCUCCCUCAGCCAUUCCUCAUAGGACUUGUGAUCCAGGCCCUUCACCAUCUUUGUUGGCAUUCUCUGGACCUGCUCCAGUCCCUCAAUGUCCUCAAUUGAGUGGCCACAGUACUCGAUGUCUGCCACCUCCCUCAUGCCCUGCCUCAGCCACUGCCCUGGGCCUUCCCUUUUGAAGGGCUGUCAAAGCAAUGCCUGUGAGGUGUUAACUAAAGCUCAAAAUUAUCUUGGAGGCUUAUGGCAAGGAAAACAUAAUUGACUUGGCCAUGAAACAGCAAUGUGGAAGUGUUGCAAUUGCAGAUUACUCUGCAAGCCUUUGCCACUGCUUAAGUGAAGUUUGCAUUCUACCUCUUUCUGAAUACAGAAAAAAAUAAAUACCCAUUUUGGCAAAAUUAAGAAUUUGUUUCUCAGUCACUUUGUGGAAAAAGUGCAAAAGUGAAGCCAGGACUAAUUUUGUUACAAGUCUGUCAUUGGUAUUUAAUUAAUCCCUUAGCAGUUAACGAUUAUGGUCUGGUGUACACAUAGGAGUUGGCAUCAAUGGCUAGGAAAGAAUGGAAGCAGCCUUGGCCAGUGA